CUGCUCACUUCAGCAGCACAUAUUCUAAAAUUGGAAUGAUAAACAGAAGAUCAGCAUGGCCCCUGUGCAAGGAUGACGCAAAUUCGUGAAGUGUUCCAUAUUUUU